rnacentral:tRNA from 1 species
AAGGAUGGCUUAGAGGAUAAAAGCACUGGCUGCUCUUCCAGAGGACCUGGGUUCAAUUCCCAGCAACCUCA